UCACACCAUGGGAGUGGGUUGCAAAAGAAGUAGGUAGCUUAACCUUCGGGAGGGCGCUUACCACUUUGUGAUUCAUGACUGGGGUGAAGUCGUAACAAGGUAACCGUAGGGGAACCUGCGGUUGGAUCACCUCCUUACCUUAAAGAA
rnacentral:rRNA from 2 species